rnacentral:rRNA from 1 species
AGUUUGAUCAUGGCUCAGAUUGAACGCUGGCGGCAGGCCUAACACAUGCAAGUCGAGCGGUAGCACAGGAGAGCUUGCUCUCUGGGUGACGAGCGGCGGACGGGUGAGUAAUGUCUGGGAAACUGCCUGAUGGAGGGGGAUAACUACUGGAAACGGUAGCUAAUACCGCAUAACGUCUUCGGACCAAAGUGGGGGACCUUCGGGCCUCACGCCAUCAGAUGUGCCCAGAUGGGAUUAGCUAGUAGGUGGGGUAAUGGCUCACCUAGGCGACGAUCCCUAGCUGGUCUGAGAGGAUGACCAGCCACACUGGAACUGAGACACGGUCCAGACUCCUACGGGAGGCAGCAGUGGGGAAUAUUGCACAAUGGGCGCAAGCCUGAUGCAGCCAUGCCGCGUGUGUGAAGAAGGCCUUCGGGUUGUAAAGCACUUUCAGCGAGGAGGAAGGGCAGUGUGUUAAUAGCACAUUGCAUUGACGUUACUCGCAGAAGAAGCACCGGCUAACUCCGUGCCAGCAGCCGCGGUAAUACGGAGGGUGCAAGCGUUAAUCGGAAUUACUGGGCGUAAAGCGCACGCAGGCGGUUUGUUAAGUCAGAUGUGAAAUCCCCGCGCUUAACGUGGGAACUGCAUUUGAAACUGGCAAGCUAGAGUCUUGUAGAGGGGGGUAGAAUUCCAGGUGUAGCGGUGAAAUGCGUAGAGAUCUGGAGGAAUACCGGUGGCGAAGGCGGCCCCCUGGACAAAGACUGACGCUCAGGUGCGAAAGCGUGGGGAGCAAACAGGAUUAGAUACCCC